UACGGGGGGGGGCAAGCGUUGUUCGGAAUUACUGGGCGUAAAGGGCUCGUAGGCGGCCAACUAAGUCAGACGUGAAAUCUCUCGGCUUAACCGGGGAACUGCGUCUGAUACUGGAUGGCUUGAGGUUGGGAGAGGGAUGCGGAAUUCCAGGUGUAGCGGUGAAAUGCGUAGAUAUCGUAAGGAAGACCAGUGGCGAAGGCGGGUCUCUGGACAGUUCCUGACACUGAGACACGAAGGCCAGGGGAGCAAACGGG
rnacentral:rRNA from 1 species